GAUGAACGCUGGCGGCGUGCCUAAUACAUGCAAGUCGAGCGAACGGACGAGAAGCUUGCUUUUCUGAUGUUAGCGGCGGACGGGUGAGUAACACGUGGAUAACCUACCUAUAAGACUGGGAUAACUUCGGGAAACCGGAGCUAAUACCGGAUAAUAUUUUGAACCGCAUGGUUCAAAAGUGAAAGACGGUCUUGCUGUCACUUAUAGAUGGAUCCGCGCUGCAUUAGCUAGUUGGUAAGGUAACGGCUUACCAAGGCAACGAUGCAUAGCCGACCUGAGAGGGUGAUCGGCCACCCUGGACCUGAGACCCGGUCAGACUCCUACGGGAGGCAGCAGUAGGGAAUCUUCCGCAAUGGGCGAAAGCCUGACGGAGCAACGCCGCGUGAGUGAUGAAGGUCUUCGGAUCGUAAAACUCUGUUAUUAGGGAAGAACAUAUGUGUAAGUAACUGUGCACAUCUUGACGGUACCUAAUCAGAAAGCCACGGCUAACUACGUG
rnacentral:rRNA from 1 species